rnacentral:rRNA from 1 species
AGAAUCAACGCUGGCGGCGUGCCUCAGACAUGCAAGUCGAACGCGAAAGGCUCCUUCGGGGGCCGAGUAGAGUGGCGCACGGGUGAGUAACACGUAGGUAAUUUGCCUUUGGGUGGGGAAUAACAGUCGGAAACGACUGCUAAUACCGCAUAAUGCAGCGGCUCGACAUCGAGACAGUUGUUAAAGCGGGGGAUCGCAAGACCUCGCGCCUGAAGAGAAGCCUGCGGCAGAUUAGCUAGUUGGUAGGGUAAUGGCCUACCAAGGCGACGAUCU